ACGUACACUCCUGCGGGAGGCAGCAGUGGGGAAUAUUGCACAAUGGGCGCAAGCCUGAUGCAGCCAUGCCGCGUGUAUGAAGAAGGCCUUCGGGUUGUAAAGUACUUUCAGCGGGGAGGAAGGCAAUACGGUUAAUAACCGUGUUGAUUGACGUUACCCGCAGAAGAAGCACCGGCUAACUCCGUGCCAGCAGCCGCGGUAAUACGGAGGGUGCAAGCGUUAAUCGGAAUUACUGGGCGUAAAGCGCACGCAGGCGGUCUGUCAAGUCGGAUGUGAAAUCCCCGGGCUCAACCUGGGAACUGCAUUCGAAACUGGCAGGCUUGAGUCUUGUAGAGGGGGGUAGAAUUCCAGGUGUAGCGGUGAAAUGCGUAGAGAUCUGGAGGAAUACCGGUGGCGAAGGCGGCCCCCUGGACAAAGACUGACGCUCAGGUGCGAAAGCGUGGGGAGCAAACAGGAUUAGAUACCCGAGUAGUCCCAU
rnacentral:rRNA from 1 species